AUGAAAACUUUAAAUGGCCGCAGUACCCUGACUGUGCUAAGGUAGCAUAAUCAAUUGGCCUUUAAUUGAGGUCUGGAAUGAAUGGAUUUAUACGGAAGCCAGCUGUCUCUUUUUAGAGUUUGUUGAAGUUAUCUUUAAAGGUGAAAAGGCCUUUGUGUGUGAAAAUAGACGAGAAGACCCUAAGAGUUUUAAUUAUAAGUAAAGGUUUUUGCUUUAUUUUUGCUGGGGCGGCAAAGAAACAAAUUAACUUUCUUGGUAAAAUUAAUAAAGUUGACGCGAAUUUUAUGAAGAACUAAUAAACUACCUUAGGGAUAACAGCAUAAUUAUUUUAAUGUUUGUGACCUCGAUGUUGGACUAGGAAAGCUUUAACGGCUAGCCGCCGAAAGUAUUAUGUUCUGUUCGAACAUU
rnacentral:rRNA from 1 species